UACGUAGGCAGCGAGCGUUGUUCGGAGUUACUGGGCGUAAAGGUGGGUAGGCGGGUCUUUAAGUUUUGUGUGAAAUCUCCCGGCUCAACCGGGAGGGUGCGCCGAAUACUGAGGAACUAGAGUACGGGAGAGGAAAGUGGAAUUCCUGGUGUAGCGGUGAAAUGCGUAGAUAUCAGGAGGAACACCGGUGGUGUAGACGGCUUUCUGGACCGUAACUGACGCUGAGACACGAAAGCGUGGGUAGCAAACAGG
rnacentral:rRNA from 1 species